rnacentral:rRNA from 1 species
UACGGAGGUGGCAAGCGUUGUUCGGAAUCACUGGGCUUAAAGGGCGUGUAGGCGGGGCGCAAGGUGUCGGGUGAAAUCCCCGGGCUCAACCCGGGAACUGCCCGGCAUACCAGCGCUCUGGAGGCAGGUAGAGGCGACCGGAACGACGGGUGGAGCGGUGAAAUGCGUAGAUAUCCGUUGGAACGCCGGUGGCGAAAGCGGGUCGCUGGGCCUGUCCUGACGCUGAGACGCGAAAGCGUGGGUAGCAAACAGG